rnacentral:rRNA from 1 species
GGGAGGCUUUGAAGCGUGGACGCCAGUCUGCGUGGAGCCGACCUUGAAAUACCACCCUUUAAUGUUUGAUGUUCUAACGUGGACCCGUAAUCCGGGUUGCGGACAGUGUCUGGUGGGUAGUUUGACUGGGGCGGUCUCCUCCUAAAGAGUAACGGAGGAGCACGAAGGUUGGCUAAUCCUGGUCGGACAUCAGGAGGUUAGUGCAAUGGCAUAAGCCAGCUUGACUGCGAGCGUGACGGCGCGAGCAGGUGCGAAAGCAGGUCAUAGUGAUCCGGUGGUUCUGAAUGGAAGGGCCAUCGCUCAACGGAUAAAAGGUACUCCGGGGAUAACAGGCUGAUACCGCCCAAGAGUUCAUAUCGACGGCGGUGUUUGGCACCUCGAUGUCGGCUCAUCACAUCCUGGGGCUGAAGUAGGUCCCAAGGGUAUGGCUGUUCGCCAUUUAAAGUGGUACGCGAGCUGGGUUUAGAACGUCGUGAGACAGUUCGGUCCCUAUCUGCCGUGGGCGCUGGAAGACUGAGGGGGGCUGCUCCUAGUACGAGAGGACCGGAGUGGACGCAUCACUGGUGUUCGGGUUGUCAUGCCAAUGGCACUGCCCGGUAGCUAAAUGCGGAAAAGAUAAGUGCUGAAAGCAUCUAAGCACGAAACUUGCCCCGAGAUGAGUCUUCCCUGAGACUUUGAGUCUCCUGAAGGAACGUUAAAGACGAUGACGUUGAUAGGCCGGGUGUGUAAGCGCAGCGAUGCGUUGAGCUAACCGGUACUAAUGAACCGUGAGGCUUAACCUUACAACGCCGAAGCUGUU